rnacentral:rRNA from 1 species
ACUGCUCAGUAACACGUGGAUAACCUACCCAAGAGUCCGGGAUAACCCCGGGAAACUGGGGAUAAUACCGGAUAGAUCAAACAGGCUGGAAGGCGGUUUGGUUGAAACUUCCGGGGCUUUUGGAUGGGUCUGCGGCUGAUUAGGUUGUUGCCGGUGUAACGUACCGUCAAGCCUGUAAUCAGUACGGGUUGUGGGAGCAAGAGCCCGGAGAUGGAUUCUGAGACACGAAUCCAGGCCCUACGGGGCGCAGCAGGCGCGAAAACUCUACAAUGCAGGCAACUGCGAUAGGGGAACAUCGAGUGGCUGUCAUAUUGAUAGUCUGUCCUCCCGCCUAAAAAGCGGGAGUUAGCAAGGGCCGGGCAAGACCGGUGCCAGCCGCCGCGGUAAUACCGGCGGCUCGAGUGGUGGCCGAUAUUAUUGAGUCUAAAGGGUCCGUAGCCGGCUUUGCAAGUCUCUCGGGAAAUCCAGCGGCUUAACCGUUGGUCGUCCGGGGGGUACUGCAUUGCUUGGGACUGGGAGAGGUAGGAGGUACUCAGGGGGUAGGAGUGAAAUCCUGUAAUCCUUUGGGGACCACCGGUGGCGAAGGCGUCCUACCAGAACAGGUCCGACGGUGAGGGACGAAAGCUAGGGGCACGAACCGGAUUAGAUACCCGGGUAGUCCUAGCCGUAAACGAUGCUCGCUAGGUGUCACAACAGUCGUGAACUGUUGUGGUGCCGUAGGGAAACCGUGAAGCGAGCCACUUGGGAAGUACGACCGCAAGGUUGAAACUUAAAGGAAUUGGCGGGGGAGCAC